rnacentral:tRNA from 2 species
GCGGGCGUCGUACAGUGGUAGUACGCGACCUUGCCAAGGUUGAGAUGUGGGUUCGAUUCCCAUCGCCCGCUCCA